AUGGCAGAUUCUGAGAAACGCAGAGACUUAGAUUGGGGAAGCAGAUUCAAAAUUAUCAGUGGGGUUGCUAGGGGACUGCAGUAUCUCCAUGAAGAUUCUCAACUGAAGAUAGUUCACCGUGACCUGAAAGCGAGCAAUAUCCUGUUGGACCUUGAUUACAACCCUAAGAUUUCUGACUUUGGCUUAGCGAAGAUAUUCGGAGGGGAUCAAUCAGAAGAUGUCACUAGGCGCAUCGCUGGGACAUAG
rnacentral:rRNA from 1 species